GACGAACGCUGGCGGCGUGCCUAAUACAUGCAAGUCGAACGCUGAAGAGAGGAGCUUGCUCUUCUUGGAUGAGUUGCGAACGGGUGAGUAACGCGUAGGUAACCUGCCUUGUAGCGGGGGAUAACUAUUGGAAACGAUAGCUAAUACCGCAUAACAAUGGAUGUCACAUGUCAUUUAUUUGAAAGGGGCAAUUGCUCCACUACAAGAUGGACCUGCGUUGUAUUAGCUAGUAGGUGAGGUAAUUGCUCACCUAGGCGACGAUACAUAGCCGACCUGAGAGGGUGAGCGGCCACACUGGGACUGGGACACGGCCCAGACUCCUGCGGGAGGCAGCAGGAGGGAAUCUUCGGCAAUGGGGGCAACCCUGACCGAGCAACGCCGCGUGAGUGAAGAAGGUUUUCGGAUCGUAAAGCUCUGUUGUAAGUCAAGAACGGGUGUGAGAGUGAAAAGUUCACACUGUGACGGUAGCUUACCAGAAAGGGACGGCUAACUACGUG
rnacentral:rRNA from 1 species